AUAAUCAUGCACGAUGGACGUGUCUCCCUGUCACGAAUACCAUACCACGGUUGCCCUUAGUUUGAAGAUGUAAUCUGGAGACAGGUGUUUUCUCCAUCUCUUUAGCGAUCAUACUCUAAUUCCUCUGAUUUCAAAACUUGAUCCUUCAGAAAGUGGAGAGCAACACUUAUGCAGCUCCACAAUAAAAAAAAAAUGUAAAGGCCACGUUCGACAGGAUUACUAACACAGACUGACGAGCUCAAAUAGAAGCCUUCAAUAUGGCAGACCAAUCUGAACUCCUCUCUCGGUAUAUCCAGCUCACUCACUAUCUCAGCCAAUCAUGGCUAGUGGGAAGGUUGCCAACUUGUUCUGUGGCUUAACCAACAAGGCUUGUAAUUUAAACAAUUUUAUUUGUAUUUACAGAUGGCAUACACAUUUAUUAAGGCACAUGAAAGUUCAUGUUCGAGAAGGCAUUUCUGCCAAAAAACGCAUUUUGAUUAAAAAAAUGUUUUACGUUCACAUGGCUCUCCUGUGAAGUUGUGACCAGCGACAUACGACCAGUUUCCUGAAUCGGGUCACAAUUCAAGUAUGGAGAGGGAUGAGGUUCCCCAAUAAGAUUGAAUUGGCUAACUAGCAAAGGAGAAGUAAGGUCAGCUUGUGACUGAGAAAGAACAUAAGCACUAAUCUAGUAGAUAGAUCAGCAGAUGUUCCCAGGUCCUGUUUUGAGAGAGCCAUCUUGAACAACUAUACUGUAUGCACUGUCAAUAGAAAAAGCAGAGCCAUGUCUUUGCAAUCGCAACAAUCUCCUCAAAUCAACUCUCAGCAAUUUGACACGCGAGUCCGGAUUGGCAGAUGUAGAAAUGCACAUGCCCAAAGAACAGCUUUAAGGUUGAGGGAGAGUGUGUGAGAGAGACGUCUACAUGACCUUAGCUGUCCACACAAAUGGAUACGCGUGCUGUAAGAAAUUUUACAACAUGACGUCACAAUCAGAAAGAUUGGGAACUAUUUUACGCUGAGAAUAUUUUUACCUGGCACCUACAACUACUAUACCCCGUUGAAAGGCACUUAAACCUUUUGUCUUGUCCAUUCACCCUCUGAAUGGCACUCAUAAACAAUCUGUCUCAAGGCUUAAAAAUCCUUCUUUAACCUGUCUCCUCCCCUUCAUCUACACCAGGGGUGGGCAACUCCUGUCCACGAGGGCUUGAUUGGUGUCACACUUUUUCAACGUCCCUAGCAAACACAGCUGAUUAAUUAAAUUGCAUUCUAAACUGAAGAUCAUGAUGAGGUGAUUAUGGGAGUCAGGUGUGUUAGCUGGGGCAAAACUGUGACACCAAUCUGUCCCUCGAGGACUGGAAUUGCCCACGCCUGAUCUACACUGAUUGAAGUGGAUUUAACAUGUGACAUCAAUAAGGGAUCACUGCUUUCACCUGUUCAACAGCAGUGCUCAAAAGAUUUUAAAGUGCUACUGAACACCAGUUCUGGGUUCAAAGUGGUGGAGGGUGCUGACCUCAUCAUUGAGUGUGCCCAUAACCUGCCGGUGGAACCAAAAAUCCCGCUGGUGUUUGUCUGGCUGAUGGAUGGCGUCUCCCUGACGGGCGAGAACAGUAGCCAGCUCACCGUGAAGAAGGUCGGCAUAGCUACCUCUGGCAAGAAUAAAUACGCCUGCACCAUCCAGAGUCCCUGUGGCAACUUCACCUCAGAUCCAAAGGAGAUUGAAUUUGAAGACACGACGCUGUUGGUCAUAGUGAUCUGUGGUGUGUCUGCUGUGGUGCUGAUCCUGGCCAUGGGUAUAGGCAUGAAGAUCAUGCUGAAGAAGGAAUUUGCAAAGACCAAGAACAGGAGGCAGCAGAAUGCUCAGAACCUACAGAGAACUACCACAACAGAGUAGUGUUUCAUUUUCUGCAAAUUCCACCAAAUGUCCUUCAUGCGAAAAUGGCAAAAAUCUGACAUGAUUACACUGUGAAUGGAGAAAUAUGUAGCUAACAAUUUAUAGUUGUAUUUGCUGCAAUUUAAUCAACAUAACACUGACGUUGAGAUAAUUUUAUGAUGGAAGAGCCACAGAUGCAUAUGUUAAUCCUCUGGCAGUGACACACAGCUAGUUUGGAGAUUUGUCCCAAUAAAUAAUAUGCCAAAUUCAUGAUAUUUAAUAAUAAACAUUUACAUGUGGAUGAUGUUUCUAUUUAUAUAAUGAAUGGGGCCUAACAUAAGUGUCCAGAGGCUGCGUGUAGCCUACACAUGAUAGUCAGCAGUUACAUUUAUAGAAGCCAGGUAAGUAGGCUAAGUGAUGUUUUCUAUUGGGUACUUUAUGUAGAGUAGCCUAAAAAUAGUAAAAUAAUAAAUAAAAUAGCUGCUAGCGUUGUGACGACGUCAAUAAUGAAUGACGCAAGAGUUGUCCAGUUCCUGCAGCUAUCCCCACUUCACAUUAGUGCAGCAUAGAACUCAUAUAUUACUGAGCCCGAGUAGCCGUCAUUUUUUUUCUCUGCCAUCUGGAAGGUGCUUGGUUGAGAAAUCUAUGGCUACUGACCAGAUCAACAUGCCUACAUUCUCAGCAAUCUACACACAAUACCCCAUAAUGACAAAGCG
rnacentral:lncRNA from 1 species